AGGGAUGAUUAAUCAAUAAUAAAAUGUUGAGGGAUGAUCAUUUGAAUACAGGAUAUUAAUACUUCUAAAAACCAUUUUUCCAAUUACUUCAGUAUAAAUAAGUUGAUAUUUCGGUAUAAAAAG